rnacentral:rRNA from 1 species
CAGUAGCCACGGUAAUACGAAGGGUGCAAGCGUUAAUCGGAAUUACUGGGCGUAAAGCGUGCGUAGGCGGCUUGGUAAGUUAGAGGUGAAAGCCCAGGGCUCAACCCUGGAAUUGCCUUUAAGACUGCCGAGCUAGUAGGUGAGAGAGGUAAGUGGAAUUCCGAGUGUAGAGGUGAAAUUCGUAGAUAUUCGGAAGAACACCAGUGGCGAAGGCGGCUUACUGGCUCAUUCUAGACGCUGAGGUGCGAAAGCGUGGGGAGCAAACAGGAUUAGAUACCCGUGUAGUCCCUGUCUCUUAUAC